rnacentral:rRNA from 1 species
UACGGGGGGUGCAAACGUUGCUCGGAAUUAUUGGGCGUAAAGCGCACGUAGGCGGUUUGUUAUGUCGGAUGUGAAAGCCCUUGGCUCAACUGAGGAAGUGCAUCCGAAACUGGCAAGCUAGAGUAUGUAAGAGGGUCGCGGAAUUCCCGGUGUAGAGGUGAAAUUCGUAGAUAUCGGGAGGAACACCGGUGGCGAAGGCGGCGACCUGGGACAAUACUGACGCUGAGGUGCGAAAGCGUGGGGAGCAAACAGG